rnacentral:rRNA from 1 species
GGCCCGCGUUGGAUUAGCUAGUUGGUGGGGUAAAGGCCUACCAAGGCGACGAUCCAUAGCUGGUCUGAGAGGAUGAUCAGCCACAUUGGGACUGAGACACGGCCCAAACUCCUACGGGAGGCAGCAGUGGGGAAUAUUGGACAAUGGGCGCAAGCCUGAUCCAGCCAUGCCGCGUGAGUGAUGAAGGCCUUAGGGUUGUAAAGCUCUUUCACCGGAGAAGAUAAUGACGGUAUCCGGAGAAGAAGCCCCGGCUAACUUCGUGCCAGCAGCCGCGGUAAUACGAAGGGGGCUAGCGUUGUUCGGAAUUACUGGGCGUAAAGCGCACGUAGGCGGAUAUUUAAGUCAGGGGUGAAAUCCCAGAGCUCAACUCUGGAACUGCCUUUGAUACUGGGUAUCUUGAGUAUGGAAGAGGUAAGUGGAAUUCCGAGUGUACAGGUGAAAUUCGUAGAUAUUCGGAGGAACACCAGUGGCGAAAGCGGCUUACUGGUCCAUUACUGACGCUGAGGUGCGAAAGCGUGUGGAGCAAACAGGAUUAGAUACCCUGGUAGUCCACGCCGUACACGAUGAAUGUUAGCCGUCGGGCAGUAUACUGUUCGGUGACGCACCUAGCGCAUUAAACAUUCCGCCUAGGGAGUACGGUCGCAAGAUUAAAACUCACAGGAAUUGACGGGGGCCCGCACAAGCGGUGGAGCAUGUGGUUUAAUUCGAAGCAACGCGCAAAACCUUACCAGCUCUUGACAU